GGGGCAAGAAAAAAGGGGAAAAGGAAAAAGAACCAAAACCUAGAAAUCUUCUAGUCACUAAUAGAAGCCUUAACUUAAGAAAAAUCUUCAUCGACAUUGACAAAAAGAUUUGAAUAGGGAGAAAAGUGAGGAAUGAAUUAGUGCUACAAGUUUUUUAAACAAAUUUACGUAUAACAUGUAAAGGUCAGAUGUUAAAGUGGUCUUUUAUGUUUAAUCCUUAUAGGUCAAACGUAAAUUUACAUUUAAUAUGAACUCAACCG
rnacentral:lncRNA from 1 species